rnacentral:rRNA from 1 species
CAAUAGCGUAUAUUAAAGUUGUUGCGGUUAAAAAGCUCGUAGUUGGAUUUCUGCCGAGGACGACCGGUCCGCCCUCUGGGUGAGUAUCUGGCUCGGCCUGGGCAUCUUCUUGGAGAACGUAGCUGCACUUGACUGUGUGGUGCGGUAUCCAGGACUUUUACUUUGAGGAAAUUAGAGUGUUUCAAGCAGGCACACGCCUUGAAUACAUUAGCAUGGAAUAAUAAGAUAGGACCUCGGUUCUAUUUUGUUGGUUUCUAGAGCUGAGGUAAUGAUUAAUAGGGAUAGUUGGGGGCAUUCGUAUUUAACUGUCAGAGGUGAAAUUCUUGGAUUUGUUAAAGACGGGCUACUGCGAAAGCAUUUGCCAAGGAUGUUUUCAUUGA